rnacentral:rRNA from 1 species
AGAGUUUGAUCCUGGCUCAGGACGAACGCUGGCGGCGUGCUUAACACAUGCAAGUCGAACGCUGAAGCUCAGCUUUUGUUGGGUGGAUGAGUGGCGAACGGGUGAGUAACACGUGAGUAACCUGCCCCCUUCUUUGGGAUAACGCCCGGAAACGGGUGCUAAUACUGGAUAUUCACUGAUCUUCGCAUGGGGGUUGGUGGAAAGGGUUUUUUCUGGUGGGGGAUGGGCUCGCGGCCUAUCAGCUUGUUGGUGGGGUGAUGGCCUACCAAGGCUUUGACGGGUAGCCGGCCUGAGAGGGUGACCGGUCACAUUGGGACUGAGAUACGGCCCAGACUCCUACGGGAGGCAGCAGUGGGGAAUAUUGCACAAUGGGCGAAAGCCUGAUGCAGCGACGCCGCGUGAGGGAUGACGGCCUUCGGGUUGUAAACCUCUUUCGCUCAUGGUCAAGCCGCAACUGUGGGUUGUGGUGAGGGUAGUGGGUAAAGAAGCGCCGGCUAACUACGUGCCAGCAGCCGCGGUAAUACGUAGGGCGCGAGCGUUGUCCGGAAUUAUUGGGCGUAAAGGGCUUGUAGGCGGUUGGUCGCGUCUGCCGUGAAAUCCUCUGGCUUAACUGGGGGCGUGCGGUGGGUACGGGCUGACUUGAGUGCGGUAGGGGAGACUGGAACUCCUGGUGUAGCGGUGGAAUGCGCAGAUAUCAGGAAGAACACCGGUGGCGAAGGCGGGUCUCUGGGCCGUUACUGACGCUGAGGAGCGAAAGCGUGGGGAGCGAACAGGAUUAGAUACCCUGGUAGUCCACGCUGUAAACGUUGGGCACUAGGUGUGGGGGCCACCCGUGGUUUCUGCGCCGUAGCUAACGCUUUAAGUGCCCCGCCUGGGGAGUACGGCCGCAAGGCUAAAACUCAAAGGAAUUGACGGGGGCCCGCACAAGCGGCGGAGCAUGCGGAUUAAUUCGAUGCAACGCGAAGAACCUUACCAAGGCUUGACAUAUACUGGACCGCAUCAGAGAUGGUGUUUCCCUUCGGGGCUGGUAUACAGGUGGUGCAUGGUUGUCGUCAGCUCGUGUCGUGAGAUGUUGGGUUAAGUCCCGCAACGAGCGCAACCC